rnacentral:lncRNA from 1 species
GGCCCCAGCUGUCCUUACUACCCAGCUGUAAUAUUCAGGCUGAUAAAAGGUAGAGAAAGCUGCGCCUUAACUAACACCACGUGGGUUCAAGAUUACCUGAAGAAGGUGAAGCCCUGCUAAUUGGGGUGAAGAUAAGCUACCUUCCCAUCCCAGCACCAGAGCCUGCAGUUUCACUCAGGCCUCCUCCCCUCAACCACAGCCAUCUCUCUGCCUACUGAUGCAGGCUCACAGAUCUCAGUCAUGUGAUAAGCUAUAUUAUGGUAUUUUAUCUGUUUAAACUAUGGAAUCUUCAA